AGCCGUAGGGAAACCGAGUCUUAACUGGGCGAAUUAGUUGCAAGGUAUAGACCCGAAACCCGGUGAUCUAGCCAUGGGCAGGUUGAAGGUUGAGUAACAUCAACUGGAGGACCGAACCCACUAACGUUGAAAAGUUAGGGGAUGACUUGUGGCUGGGGGUGAAAGGCCAAUCAAACCGGGAGAUAGCUGGUUCUCCCCGAAAUCUAUUUAGGUAGAGCCUCGGACGAAUUCCAUUGGGGGUAGAGCACUGUUAAGGCUAGGGGGUCAUCC
rnacentral:rRNA from 17 species